rnacentral:rRNA from 1 species
UACGUAGGGUGCGAGCGUUGUCCGGAAUUAUUGGGCGUAAAGAGCUUGUAGGCGGUUUGUCGCGUCUGCUGUGAAAAUCCGGGGCUCAACCCCGGACUUGCAGUGGGUACGGGCAGACUAGAGUGCGGUAGGGGUGACUGGAAUUCCUGGUGUAGCGGUGAAAUGCGCAGAUAUCAGGAGGAACACCGGUGGCGAAGGCGGGUCUCUGGGCCGAUACUGACGCUGAGGAGCGAAAGCGUGGGGAGCGAACAGG